GGCGGCAGGCCUAACACAUGCAAGUCGAACGGUAACAGGAAGCAGCUUGCUGUUUCGCUGACGAGUGGCGGACGGGUGAGUAAUGUCUGGGAAACUGCCUGAUGGAGGGGGAUAACUACUGGAAACGGUAGCUAAUACCGCAUAACGUCGCAAGACCAAAGAGGGGGACCUUCGGGCCUCUUGCCAUCGGAUGUGCCCAGAUGGGAUUAGCUAGUAGGUGGGGUAACGGCUCACCUAGGCGACGAUCCCUAGCUGGUCUGAGAGGAUGACCAGCCACACUGGAACUGAGACACGGUCCAGACUCCUACGGGAGGCAGCAGUGGGGAAUAUUGCACAAUGGGCGCAAGCCUGAUGCAGCCAUGCCGCGUGUAUGAAGAAGGCCUUCGGGUUGUAAAGUACUUUCAGCGGGGAGGAAGGGAGUAAAGUUAAUACCUUUGCUCAUUGACGUUACCCGCAGAAGAAGCACCGGCUAACUCCGUGCCAGCAGCCGCGGUAAUACGGAGGGUGCAAGCGUUAAUCGGAAUUACUGGGCGUAAAGCGCACGCAGGCGGUUUGUUAAGUCAGAUGUGAAAUCCCCGGGCUCAACCUGGGAACUGCAUCUGAUACUGGCAAGCUUGAGUCUCGUAGAGGGGGGUAGAAUUCCAGGUGUAGCGGUGAAAUGCGUAGAGAUCUGGAGGAAUACCGGUGGCGAAGGCGGCCCCCUGGACGAAGACUGACGCUCAGGUGCGAAAGCGUGGGGAGCAAACAGGAUUAGAUACCCUGGUAGUCCACGCCGUAAACGAUGUCGACUUGGAGGUUGUGCCCUUGAGGCGUGGCUUCCGGAGCUAACGCGUUAAGUCGACCGCCUGGGGAGUACGGCCGCAAGGUUAAAACUCAAAUGAAUUGACGGGGGCCCGCACAAGCGGUGGAGCAUGUGGUUUAAUUCGAUGCAACGCGAAGAACCUUACCUGGUCUUGACAUCCACGGAAGUUUUCAGAGAUGAGAAUGUGCCUUCGGGAACCGUGAGACAGGUGCUGCAUGGCUGUCGUCAGCUCGUGUUGUGAAAUGUUGGGUUAAGUCCCGCAACGAGCGCAACCCUUAUCCUUUGUUGCCAGCGGUCCGGCCGGGAACUCAAAGGAGACUGCCAGUGAUAAACUGGAGGAAGGUGGGGAUGACGUCAAGUCAUCAUGGCCCUUACGACCAGGGCUACACACGUGCUACAAUGGCGCAUACAAAGAGAAGCGACCUCGCGAGAGCAAGCGGACCUCAUAAAGUGCGUCGUAGUCCGGAUUGGAGUCUGCAACUCGACUCCAUGAAGUCGGAAUCGCUAGUAAUCGUGGAUCAGAAUGCCACGGUGAAUACGUUCCCGGGCCUUGUACACACCGCCCGUCACACCAUGGGAGUGGGUUGCAAAAGAAGUAGGUAGCUUAACCUUCGGGAGGGCGCUUACCACUUUGUGAUUCAUGACUGGGGUGAAGUCGUAACAAGGUAACCGUAGGGGAACCUGCGGUUGGAUCACCUCCUUACCUUAAAGAAGC
rnacentral:rRNA from 1 species